UAAAUUAUUACAUAGAAAUACAAAUAUUAAAUGACAACUUCUGAAAUAUUUCAGCGUAUACGAAUCUUAAUUAUGAAACUAAAUACAAAAUCAUUCCGAAAUUUAAGCUAUGAUGACUUUAACAUGGACACAUCAUUUAUUAAUACAAACUACUUUAAAGAUUUUGAAAAACGAAGAAGACGACCUAUGAAAUCAGAAUCUUCUGUACAUUUAUAUCUAGUCGCUGUAAAAAAGAGAAUAAAACAACUUAAUUAAUAUAUGAUGAAAUAUAAUGUACGAAUUAAAGAAAGAAGUUUAUUAAGAAUAAAAUAUAAGUACCUUCAAUAUUCAGUGCAAGGAGAAUUAUGAAAAUAAAUAUAAUUAUAACUGAAACAAACUUAGAAACUAGAGCCAUUUAUUCCUUUAUGGAUGUAACAAAUUGUUCUCGUUAAGAGUCCCACAUCAGACAAUAUAUGACCUGAACAUGUGUUUAUAAGUGGGGACAGUCCUCACUCUACCAACCGGUUUUGUAGGGUUGACUUAGGCCCAAACCGCACAUUCUUAACAUGGUAUCAGAGUCUCGUUUAAGAUCCGGUGGGCCACCUAAUAUGGUUUCCGCUAUCGGGUCACCCACCAUUUAUUUUCACGCUCCAGAUGUCCAGCCCUGAGCGUGAGGGGGUGUGUUAAGAGUCCCACAUCGGACAAUAUAUGGUCUGAACAUGUGUUUAUAAGUGGGGGCAGUCCUCACUCUACCAAUCGGUUUUGUAGGGUUGAGUUAGGCCCAAACCACACAUUCUUAACAGUUCUUAUCAUUUUAUAAUUUAUGAAGUCCUAUCAUCUCCUUACAUCAAUUAAGUAGUUUUUAAG
rnacentral:lncRNA from 1 species